AGUGAACGCUGGCGGUAGGCCUAACACAUGCAAGUCGAACGGCAGCACAGUAAGAGCUUGCUCUUAUGGGUGGCGAGUGGCGGACGGGUGAGGAAUACAUCGGAAUCUACCUUUUCGUGGGGGAUAACGUAGGGAAACUUACGCUAAUACCGCAUACGACCUUCGGUGAAAGCAGGGACCUUCGGGUCUUGCGCGGAUAG
rnacentral:rRNA from 1 species